GGAUUGGAGAAGAGGUUGCAGAUGAUCAAGGAGCGACACGUGCAGGGAUGGCUGGAAAAUGGCAAAGAGGUGCCCGAAGCCCUGUCCUGUGUAGCCUGAGCACUCCUCGCUGAGGAUGAAGCAUGCUUUACAGCAGUUCCCAAAACUGUGUUGAAGCUGAAAUGCUGCGUCUGUUUUUUCUGUGUUGGGGUUGCACCUUGGUGAUUGGCUUCAGGUUCCAGGUGGGACCUAAUGGUAACUGAGUUGAAGGUAUGCCAUCAGAGAGCUCCUUCUGCCUGGGCUGCACUUUUAGGUAAGAGCUUUGUUUUUCCUUCAGUUGUUUGGAGGGUUCUUUAGGUGGGUCAGAGUCUAUGGAUGGAUGCGAUUUCAAGUAGAAACUGGUACGCAGAUCUUUUUGAGGUGACAAUUGGUAGGAUCUGUCAUUGUAAAGCAAUCUAGUAGUAGGUGCCUGUAUUGCACGCAGCUCUUCCUCAGGUGAGUAGUUACUAUGGCAGUUCUACAGAUAGUAUGGUGAUGUUACUUUGUGUUUUUGCUUUGUGGUUCUGGGUCCCUUCUGAUUUUUGCAGAAUUACAGGGCUUUCUGUGAUUCUUUGCCUGUAUGUCAAAUAUUAUCAAUAUCACAACCUUUGUGGCAAAGUGAUGGAGCAGGGUUUAGGAGAAAUGUAUGAUGGAGGCUCCCUGUGUGAGCGUGUAUCUGAAAAUGGCAGCAGUGGGCAUAUAAGUGGUGAUCUUUUUCAGGUUUAAGGGCGGUUUGUUAUAUUCCUGGAGCUUUUGCCUGUGUGCUUGCUGUCUGAGUCUUUAGACCAUCAAGCCUUCUUGCUUUAUGUGCAUGGAAUUCACUUAUUUGAGUUAUGUUUAUGAAGCGUUGUGAGGUACGUUGUUUUUGGGAAACUGUGGGCUACAAUUUCUUGACCGCAUAAGUGCAGUACUGCCAAGAGACUGAGCAGGG